UGUUUAUUAUUAUUAGGUCUUUCCACUUUUCUGUGGAAAGACCUAUUGUUUUUCUUCUGAUUAUUUUUUUUUCUUCCGCCUAAUUUUGUUCUUGCGAUAAACAUUUGUUUCGCAAUAUGUCGCUUAGAUAUUUUGUAUAUGAUAUCGAACAGUUUAUGCGCUUUUGAAAUUUACCCUGCGUAAACAAAUACUUUUCUUUGUAGGAGUUAUCUCCCCAAACACUGUUUUCCUUGUUAGCGCAUCUCCUUCGCAACUGUAAAAGAUUAUGACAAAUUUAUUUUACAAAAUUGCUC
rnacentral:lncRNA from 1 species